UUCAUUACUGCCAAAAUCUUCUAAUUGCUUAGCAAGUUUUUGCGGAGCCGUUGACAGAUUGCCCAGCUUACAAGUUAAAGAAGAUCCAAAAAAAAAAAAAAAAAGAAAGAAAAAGAAAAAGAAAAACAUUUAUGUUAGCAAACCGAGCAUAAAGCAAGGAAAAGACAACCGGCGCAAACUUUCCUAAAGAAUAGAUCACUGGAGUUUUCUUAUCAAAAGGUAGAACUACACGUCUUUAUACUUUCCACCAAAUAUUCGCAGGUGAUAAUUCAACCGACAGAAUCGUUCAAUAGUUAUUUCCAUUUUUUUUUUAAAAAAAAAAAAACGGAGACAAAAACAAAGCUCUCGUUGCAGAAUAAACCAGCUGAGAAACGGUGAAUUUGCGUGAAGAAAGCCUCGAUUUCUUCGAAUAAAAAAAUUUACUAAAAGCUGAACAAAUUAUGAAGAGCUAGGUUUACCAUAAAAUGAAAGAGAUGCGAUGAUCCUCACCAAAAAUUGGUAAGAAUUCCACAAACUCUCAUGCCAAGGAAAUACCGCUCAACACCUCCUUCCUUCCACCUACAAGAAGCACGCCACCUUUCUAAGAUCACACAUGAAGAAUUGAGAAAUCGACGAUCAAAUCCAAGAAACAACCUGAAUUUGUGAGCUCCAUAAUUGGAAGAUAAACCUGUAUUUACUAAAGGAAAAAGCCAUACCAUGACCAUGAACUGUGAUUGGUGGAGCUUCUGCUUUGUGCUUAUUCGGUCAAAAAAAUACAAAUAAAAAUUGGUUAAAAAGAAUAAUAUUUAUUAAUUUAAAAUUAAAUUAUUUAGAAGAAGAAUAUUUUUA
rnacentral:lncRNA from 1 species